AACAGUCGCAAAUGGAAUUUCAAGAAACAUUCUAUAUACACUGCCUCUAGGACUGGGACAGAUAGCCACUGAGUACCUGCUUCAAAUCACCCUGCACGUUUUCUUGUUGGAAAGAUAACCACUGGAGAACCAUCUCAUUACCUUCAGCAAAAAUGGAAACAAAUCAAGACAUUAAGAAUGCCACAGUGGACAGCAGUUACGCAAGGUUCAGCAGAGGAAGUUUUCAAGAUGGUGUGCCUCGCUAGCCAGAAAUCAGAAAAGAUUGAAGCUAGCCUUUUCAUCUUAGCUGCUCCUUAAAUCAGUGCAACCCCUCCAAGUUAAUGUGAAUUGAAACAUGCAUUGCUUUUCAACUUAAUUGAGUACUUACUAUAUGUGAACCACUGCACAAAAUAGGGGAAGAAAAUGUGGGAGACAAAGAUGUGGAGCCUGCCUUCAAUAAAUUUACAGUUAGUUUCAGGGUACAUUGUUUUUCUUCUGCUGUUAAUUAGGUGUAUACCCAAGACAAUAAAUAAAUGAAUGGAAAAGUA
rnacentral:antisense_RNA from 1 species